rnacentral:misc_RNA from 1 species
UGAUGUUUAUUAUUAGCUCAAAUAGAACGAAAAAGAGCAUCUCCCAGGGACAAUAAGAGAGAGAAACAAAUAUACACGACUGUUAGAAGCUAGUUCAGUUAUACCACUCAGCCGAAGAACAAAAAGAUCAAGGCCAAUAGACCAAAAUAUCGAGUUAUUCACAAAAAUCAUUUAGCUUUAUUUUAAUUUUUUAUACAAAAGGAUCAUAAUCCAUGAUGAUGAUGAACAGAAACAGAAUCGGCAACACAAGCCAUUAGCUUCCACACAACACAAACGACAAAUUGGCUGUCGCCGCAUGACACGAAUGAUACAAUUUUGCGGGCCACUUGAAGCUGCGAUUAAUCAUUCCAAUAAACAGGUAAGAAUACUAAAAGAACCCACCUCAAGUCAUCAGCAGCUAACAUUCUGAAACAUCUAAUAGAACCAGAAAAAUCUUCCCGCUUUGAAUUUGGAACAAAUAUUAAUUAGAUAAAACAGUCGAUACCAAUUGUUCGAAAAGAAACUGUUCCGCCUGAAAAGAAUACAAUUCCAAAAACCCUG